rnacentral:sRNA from 1 species
AAAGCUUUGAUUGAGAUCGAUGAAGAAGGUACUGAAGCUGCUGCUGCAACUGCU